GACGAACGCUGGCGGCGUGCUUAACACAUGCAAGUCGAGCGGAGCGGCGAACGGGUGAGUAACCCGUGAGUAACUGCCCCCCUCUCUGGGAUUAAAGUUGGAAAAGGCUGCUAAUACCGGAUAGUGGGGGAUGGAUCGCGUCCGAUCAGCUUGUUGGUGGGGUAGUGGCCUGCAAAGGCGCCGACGGGUAGCCGGCCUGGGAGGGCGCCCGGCCACAGUGGGCGGAGAUACGGCCCAAACUCCUACGGGAGGCAGCAGUGGGGAAUAUUGCACAAGGGUGGAAACCCUGAUGCAGCAACGCCGCGGGCGGGAGGACGGCCUUCGGGUUGUAAACCGCUUUCAGCCAUGACGCGGUAGUGGCAGAAGAAGCACCGGCUAACUACGUGCCAGCAGCCGCGGUAAUUC
rnacentral:rRNA from 1 species